rnacentral:rRNA from 1 species
GAUGGACGCUGGCGGCGUGCUUAACACAUGCAAGUCGAACGGGAAACUUUUCAUUGAAGCUUCGGCAGAUUUGGUCUGUUUCUAGUGGCGGACGGGUGAGUAACGCGUGGGUAACCUGCCUUAUACAGGGGGAUAACAACCAGAAAUGGUUGCUAAUACCGCAUAAGCGCACAGGACCGCAUGGUCCGGGGUGAAAAACUCCGGUGGUAUAAGAUGGACCCGCGUUGGAUUAGCUAGUUGGCAGGGUAACGGCCUACCAAGGCGACGAUCCAUAGCCGGCCUGAGAGGGUGAACGGCCACAUUGGGACUGAGACACGGCCCAGACUCCUACGGGAGGCAGCAGUGGGGAAUAUUGCUCAAUGGAGGCAACUCUGAUGCAGCGACGCCGCGUGAGUGAAGAAGUAUUUCGGUAUGUAAAGCUCUAUCAGUAGGGAAGAUAAUGACGGUACCUACAGAAGAAGCCCCGGCUAAAUACGUGCCAGCCGCCGCCGUAA